GGGCGAGGGGUGUUACAUUUGGUGGUAUCAGAGCAUGGUUUAGUCGGUUCUCGGACUAACCUAGCGUAAGAGAGUCUAGUUAUACAUGCCAUAGUAUUACUCGUGAUAGUGUGAUAUCUCUCGGCCUUAACAAAACUGUUGAUUAAGACAGGAAUGAGUUCCAACCGAGCAAAUCUUGAUAGAGAUAAGAGUAAAGUUGAGAUUAUUGAAUCAUGCUUAUGAUAUGCUGAAAAUUUGGAAAGGGAAUGAGUACGAUCGUUCACUAAUGAAUUGACGGAAAAGACUAUGGUUGGACCAUGGCAAUACAUGAGAUUUGUGUGCCAGUGUAAGACCAUGUAUGAGACAUGGCAUUGGCAUUGAGACGAGGGCUAGUGUAAGACAUGUCUGGGACAUGCAUCAGCCACAGUAUGAGAGCCAGUGUAAGACAUGUCUGGGACAUGCAUCGGCCUCGAGAUGAUAGCCAGUGUCAGACAUGUCUGGGACAUGCGUCGGCUACGAGAUGUGCUAGUGUAAGACAUGUCUGGGACAUGCGUCAGCACGGUUACAUGUGUCAGUGUAAGACCUGUCUGGGACACGGCAUCGACACAGAUGGAUGAGAGCUAGUACAAGACCAUAGUUGAACUAUGGCAUCAAGUAAGCGAUGUACUCAAAACCAUAAGACGUUCUCCAAUUUGAUAAAUAUUGGCAAGUGAUUAAGACUAAAUAUGGGAAUUUGAUAAAACAUUAAGGGUAAUUCGAGAAAAAGAAAUGAAAGUUUGAGUUAUGAUAAA